rnacentral:rRNA from 1 species
GAUGAACGCUGGCGGCGUGCCUAAUACAUGCAAGUCGAGCGAACGGACGCGAAGCUUGCUUCUCUGAUGUUAGCGGCGGACGGGUGAGUAACACGUGGAUAACCUACCUAUAAUACUGGGAUAACUUCGGGAAACCGGAGCUUAUACCGUAUAAUAUUUUGAACCGCAUGGUUCAAAAGUGAAAGACGGUCUUGCUGUCACUUAUAGAUGGAUCUGCGCUGCAUUAGCUAGUUGGUAAGGUAACGGCUUACGAAGGCAACGAUGCAUAGCCGACCUGAGAGGGUGAUCGGCCACACUGGAGCUGAGACGCGGUCCAGACUCCUGCGGGAGGCAGCAGUAGGGAAUCUUCCGCAGUGGGCGAAAACCUGACGGAGCGACGGCACGUGAGUGGUGAAGAUCUUCGGAUCGUAAAACUCUGCUAUUAGGGAUAAACAUAUGUGUAAGUAACUGUGCACAUCUUGACGGUACCUGAUAAAAAAGCCACGGCUAACUACGUG